rnacentral:lncRNA from 1 species
UAUUAAGCAAGAAUGAAGAUAAGUAUUCCCUGUUCAAUUAUGAUCAGCCUGCAGAAGCUUUGGAGAACCAGCUGAUACUCCUACUUCAGAUGGAUCCAUUCUUUGCAAAUUCCCAAUACAAAAAUCACAAAAAAGAGAAAAGCAUUCAGUAAAAUUUGUGAAAUAUUGAGUAAUCGUAAUACACAAAGAAUCCCUUCAACUCAAACUCCAAAUUUACAUGAAACUCAUAAAAACAACUAGCUGCUUUAGCACAAACAAAAGCCAACAAGAUGGCAUCAGUUAAUGAUACAUGGUUGAUGGUACAUGUUUUUCACCAAAACUUCCAAGCUAGUAUAAUAAAUUGAUAAUAGCACAUUGCAUUCCUUGGUGUAACUUCAUUUGAAAAUACAAAACAGCAUUUAUAAUACAAGGUCGGAUCUUCAAGCAACAGAAGUAAAAACAUUCAAGUUUAUUGGACCGAGAAAAAUGUAACUCAAGUCAAACAGAAGGGCGAACAUCUUGUAAUAAGUUCAUUGAAAAUAAGGCUCUAAACUGUAACCGCUUGUGCACUCAGACUUGGAAUCUCUCGAAAGUGCAUCGUAUUUUGUGCCUUUCUUUUAUAGUCUUUUACAAUAAACCAACACGGAACUAAAAGAAAAUAGAAAAUAUGCACACACGGAGACAAACACACAAAGAAAAUUCUUUCUUUUUUGUUUUCUUUUUUACUUUCAAAGCUAAUAACAAAAAGUUUUGUUUACUUUAAUCAGAGAAGAACACAAUGUUCUAUCUUCUUCUGCUUAACAAUAACACCUAUGCGAACCUACACUCUUCCAGAAAAACAUUAACCUAAUAAAUCCCAAAAGCAAAAGGUCAAUAGAAAAGAAAUGUUAAAAGUUGUUAAAAAAAGAGUUAUACCCAUCUUCAAGCACAGAAGUUGGAGAGUCUGAUAGGAACUCGUUCUUUUCAUUUUCAGGAACCAUUCUCAAACCCUAAUCAGAAAAAUUCAAAUCCCACAAUAAAGAAAAACAAAAAACAACCCGAACCAGGCAUCUCCAUUGUCAACAUAUACAAGAAACCCCCAAAAAAAAAAAUCAAUGAAUCACAACUUCACAAACCCAACCUCCGAUGUUGAUUGAAAAGAAUUUAG